UUUUUUUUUUUUUUUUUUGUAUUGUUGUUUUGGUUUUUAGAUUUUUGAUAGUGCAACUUAUUUUAGGCAACAAAGCAGAAGAAAUAGUGUUUUCCACAGAAUUCUCAGCUUUUGGGAAUUCUCCCAGAUACUGCAUUUUGCAGGGGCUAAGUGUUCUGGGUGUCAUUGUUCCUUGAGCAAAGGAAUUGCAAUUUAUUGGUUAAGACAGUAGAAAAAGGUUUCUGUUUCAUUAUUUUAAACAUAAUUUCAGUCAGUCAGUCAAACUUGUUUUAAUAUAUUAUUACCUAUAGCUGACUGAUACUUAGCUGUUUAAACAUUGUGAAACACAGGACACAUGUGAAACACAUUCCUCAACCUCUGAGGGUGGUCUUGCUCUAGAAGUCUGGAGUAGGACUCUGAUGUCUGAUGAUGAUGGUAGGUCUAUCUGAGUGUAGGCUGCUGCUGAAAGAGGUGGUCUUGACCUCCCUUUUGCAGAGGUGCCUUCUUGUUCUUUCCUAUGCUAAGACUAGUGCUCAAGUGGCUAUACAGAAGGGUCAGAGGUGGGAACUGACCAGUUGUAAACUAAACAUUUUGUUCUUCUGGAUUUUAUCUCAACUGUAUCAGAUUCUUGAUCCAGCCAUUUUGCAGUUACUGAUUCCUGCACAGGGACUGAGGCAGUAACAUGCAGCUGGGGAAAGGUGGGACUGCUGCUUUUGAUGGUUGCUACAUUCAGAUUGCUUUAAGAUAAUUCUGAAAUCUGCCUUAAGACUGCUUUCAUCAGGUGAUGUCAAAUGUGAGGAACUGGAAUGUAAAUAGCAAAUAUUUGACAACAGUCAGAACUGAGUAUGUUCUUGGGGCAGAGGGAAUGUGACCUUUAUUCAUUCUCUGAUUUUUGUUACAGGGGAAGAUACUGCUCUAUGUACAUUAUGGUGCUAGGUUUGCUACAGUGGUGAUUGUGCAUUUAUUAUAUAAAAUCAAAUAAAUUUGGAAAAUACAGCAAUGCUUAUAUUAAAAACUGAUGUAGUUAAAUUCUCCUGUGUAGACCAUAUAAUAAAGCAUAGUAGGUUAAAUGUUUCACCUCUUAUUUCACUGCUCAGUAUUCAUUAGAACUUAGUGUCAUAACUCUGGAAGAUAGGGUAUCUGGGCUGCAUGAAGCAUGGGUGGGAAUCUUACAAAGUACUCUUAUUCUGUUUUAUCAUUAGUUUUGACUUUCUCAGAAGAAUACGAAAUGCCAUAUGUUGAACUGCUUGAGAAAUCAGUUUCGAUUGUGCUGUUUAUAGUGCAUGUAAAAUGGUAUGGAUCAAAGAUGGCAACAGAAGCGGACAGCUGUUAAUCGUACCAAGCAUUGUACUCAGAGAUCUGAAGUCUUUAUAAUGCCAGCCAGACUACACAGAAGUGUAUUACUCAGUGGAAUUUGUGCAUACUAUCUUCUGUUAUUUCAAAUCUGGUUUUGAUUCUGCUGGAACAAGCUGGUACAGUCUAGGACUAUCAUACAGGUAUGUUAAUGCUGUCAUUAGAUAAGGUUGUUCAAGAGACCUGAAAACGUACUGAUUGUGUUCAAAAAAAUUGUUAUUGACAAAACAAGUUCCUAAAUUACAAUCUAAGAGUGUUCAAGAAUAGUGUUUACUAUAGGUAAGAACAGUACGUGUCUUUAUAGGAUAUCAAGUGCAAAAAGAGUUUUAGAACAUCUCUUAAUUUACAUAUCAAGUAUGAGCUAUAGAAUCAUUUCAGUUGGAAAAAACCUUCAAGGUCAUCAAGUCCCAUCACUAAACAGCGUUCUGCAGCGCCAUGUUUAAACAUCUCUCACAUACCUCCAGGACUGGGGACUCCACUGCUUCCCUGAGCAGCCUGUUCCAAUGCUUGACCGCCCUCUCCAUGAAGUUCUCCCUAAUAGCCGAUCUAAACCUCCCUGGCAUAACUUGAGGCCAUUUCUUCAUGUCCUAUCACUAGUCACAUGAGAAGAGAGUCUGACACUCGCCUCACUGCAACCUCCUUCCAGGUAGUUGUAGAGAGCGAUGAUAUCUCCCCUCACCCUCUUCUUCUACAGCUCACUUAGCAGCUCCUCAUAACUAUUGUUUUCUAGUCCCUUCACCAACUUUAUUGUGCAUGCUCAGGCAAUUCCAUAUCCUUCCUUUAGCGAGGGGCCCAGAACUGAGCACAGUAUUCAAGGUGCAAUCUCACUGGUGCCAUGUGCAAGGGGACAAUCACUUCCCUUGACCUCCUGGCCAUACUAUUUCUGAUGCGAACCAGGAUGCCAUUGGCCUUCUUGGCCACCACUGCUGGCUGUUGACCAGCAUCCCCAGGUCCCUUUCUGCUGGGCAGCUUUCCAGCCACUCUUCCCCAAGCCUAUACCACCACAUGGGGUUGUUAUGACCCAAGUGCAGGACCUGGCAUUCAGCCUUUUUGAAUAUUGUGUGAUUGGAUGCGGCCAGUCCCGAUGCACAGCCUUCCUACCCUCAAGCAGUCCUGCCUAACGUGUUGUUGUCUGCAGACUUGCUGAGGGUGCACUCAUCCAGAUUAUCAAUAAAAAUGUUGAACAAAACUGGCCCCAAUACUGAGCCCUGGGGGAUGCCACUGGUGACCAGCCGCUGUCUGGGUUGAACUCCUUUCACUAUGACUCUGAGCCUGGCCAUCCAGGCAGUCCUUCAGCCAGCAAUAUGUAUACCUGUCCAAGCCGUGAGCAGCUGGUUUCUCACAGAAUACUGUGGGAUACUGUCAAAUACUUUACUGAAAUUCAGGUAAAUAACAUCCACAGCUUUUCCCUCGUGUACUAAGAAGGUCAUUUUGUCAUAGGAGAUCAGGUUAGUCAAGCAGUACCUGCCUUUCAUAAAUUCAUGCUGGCUGCAUCUGAUCACUGGGCACAGUUGUCCCAUAUGUGCCGUGUAAAGGCAUACAAGAUGGUCUGCACGACCUUCCCUGGUACCAAGGUCAGACUGACAGACCUGUUAUUCCCUAGGUCCUUCUUCCUUCAAUUCUUAUAGAUUGGAGUCCCAUUCACUAACCUCCUGUUAACUGGGCAUUACUAUAAAUUACUUUAUGUUACUUAAGCAAGGAAAAGAAAAGACUUUUUAAGGCCUUUUGAAGCUGCAGCAGCUAAAACUAAAAUUAUGCUUUUCACUCCUAAAAGUGAUGACAAUUUCAAUUUGUUUCUGAAAAAAA